GACCUCUUCUCAUUGUUGGGUGCUUUUGUCCAAACAAAUAAGAAAUCUAGAAUCAACUGUUCACGGUUCAUUUUGCAUCACAAUGAAGAUUUACAGUUUUCUCUUCCUUGUUCUCUUCUUGAUGCUCUUUCCUAAUCCAGGAUAUACCAGAAUUUCAAGUGAAACUGAAUGUAGGAAGGCAGGGGGCCAAUGUGUUUUAACAUUUCCAAAGGGCUGCCAGUAUCCUUUGACCCCAAAGGGGAAAUGUAGUACUUGGAAAGUUUGCUGUAUAUACAUAUCACGUUAAAACCACUGGAUAUUCCAUUCCCGGAGAAGAAAAAGGCAAUCCCUGUUUUAAUACAAAUCUCUGUUCCUGCUUUAUGUUUCUGCUUGAUCUCCAAAAUUGCUCCUGAGAUUCUUUUCAGAAAAACAGAAAGUUAUUGUCAAAUCAGUUGCUUUUCCACAAUGUAAUAAAAGGAUGAAUUUUAUGAUGA